GCUAGAGUGGCCUAAGUGGUUAGAGCGGCCGCCUCGGACGCGGGAGGUCUCGGGUUCGUACCCCGGCUGAGGUA